CUACGGGGGGCUGCAGUGGGGAAUAUUGCACAAUGGGCGCAAGCCUGAUGCAGCCAUGCCGCGUGUAUGAAGAAGGCCUUCGGGUUGUAAAGUACUUUCAGCGGGGAGGAAGGGAGUAAGGUUAAUACCUUUGCUCAUUGACGUUACCCGCAGAAGAAGCACCGGCGAACUCCGUGCCAGCAGCCGCGGUAAUACGGAGGGUGCAAGCGUUAAUCGGAAUUACUGGGCGUAAAGCGCACGCAGGCGGUUUGUUAAGUCAGAUGUGAAAUCCCCGGGCUCAACCUGGGAACUGCAUCUGAUACUGGCAAGCUUGAGUCUCGUAGAGGGGGGUAGAAUUCCAGGUGUAGCGGUGAAAUGCGUAGAGAUCUGGAGGAAUACCGGUGGCGAAGGCGGCCCCCUGGACGAAGACUGACGCUCAGGUGCGAAAGCGUGGGGAGCAAACAGGAUUAGAUACCCCCGUAGUC
rnacentral:rRNA from 1 species